rnacentral:rRNA from 1 species
GACGAACGCUGGCGGCGUGCCUAAUACAUGCAAGUCGAACGCAGUGGGGACGGGUGAGUAACACGUGGGUAACCUCCCAUCAGAGGGGAUACCACUUGGAAAAAGGUGCUAAACCGAUACUGAUGGAUGGACCCGCGGUGAAUUAGCUAGUUGGUGAGGUAACGGCUCACCAAGGCGACGAUGCAUAGCCGGCCUGAGAGGGUGAUCGGCCACACUGGGACGGAGACACGGCCCAGACUCCUACGGGAGGCAGCAGUGGGGAAUAUUGGGCAAUGGACGAAAGUCUGACCGAGCAAUGCCGCGUGAGUGAAGAAGGUUUUCGGAUCGUAAAACUCUUUUAUUAGAGAAGCGGUAUCUAACCAGAAAGCACCGGCUAACUCCGUGCCAGCAGCCGCGGUAAUAC